AAAAUGGUUUACCCAAAGCCACACGGCAUAACAGAAGUUGUCUGGGGAAAUAACAUGAACAAAUUCAAUAAGAAUGGAGUGACCGUAAUGUCGUGGAAAAGACAAGAUCUAUUUGAUCCGAUAUGGAAAAGUAAUAGUGGAGAAAUACUGAGAUACUGUCAAGAUAUCGAUUCAUGGAGUAAUGACAACGAUGAUCAUUUGAAUAGUGUCAAUCAAACAAACCGAUAAAAACAGCCCAAAAACUUGCCAGGAAGAUAACAUUAAUGAAAACCCUUUACAAUAUAUACUGGAUAUGGAUUGCAGAUCGAGGCUUAUCAACUUGAAAGGGCGGUCUGAACCCCAACGGAAAUUACCAAAGGUACAAUAACGUAGUGAACCAUUUAUCAGCUGAUAGUUAGGAUGAUAAGCAACAAAUAAACUGUCAUACCUAGUACCAUACGAGAGAAAUGUUCGUAAACACUGGUUUUAUGGUGGUGAAGAGCAAAACAAAAUUAAUAAUUUUGUAUUUAUAUUUGCUUAACCAGCUAGAUUUGAAAUUUAGAAUUUCGUCAUUUAUCUUUUAGGAUAUCUAAAUACGAAGAUCCCAUCUCUUUUUGUAUUCUAUAAUCAUGCAUACAUUGUAGCUUAGGUGCAUCCUCGAACUCGGACAUUAAAUAUUUUCAACAUUUUA